rnacentral:rRNA from 1 species
UACGGAGGGUGCAAGCGUUAUCCGGAUUCACUGGGUUUAAAGGGUGCGUAGGUGGGUUGGUAAGUCAGUGGUGAAAUCCCCCGAGCUUAACUUGGGAACUGCCAUUGAUACUAUCAAUCUUGAAUACUGUGGAGGUCAGCGGAAUAUGUCAUGUAGCGGUGAAAUGCUUAGAUAUGACAUAGAACACCAAUUGCGAAGGCAGCUGGCUACACAAUUAUUGACACUGAGGCACGAAAGCGUGGGGAUCAAACAGG